rnacentral:lncRNA from 1 species
AUUAGGUUAGGAACUCGACCAAUUAAACUCUAGAAUUCAGCAGUGAUGAUGGUGUCCGCUAACAAAUUUUUCAAUCUUUUAGACAUUGUUCAGAAAUGUAAUGUCUUCCAGAAGUAUCAUGUUGGUAUUUGGCCAGUUGUUUUUAUAUGACAUUUUUUAUAGUAUCUUGAUGUAAGACCAGUGUACAAGGGGUCAAGGAACUUGUUACCCGUGGAAUGCUUUGUAGCUUAUGUUUUCCCCCUUCCCCUUGCUGUUAUGAAUGUAACAAUUGCUCUAUUUAAGGAAGCUGCGUCACCGGCUGUCAAUGUAGAGAUAGGUGUAUGAAUGACCAAAUACAGGGAUCCCUGUGAAUUUCC